rfam:Nicotiana sylvestris Nsyl_contig99693, whole genome shotgun sequence.
UGGACAAAUUAUUGUAUUCGACUGUAUUCACAACGUGAAACAGGGGAUUACACUGUUUUUAAACGGAAAGUGAAUCAAUUAACAUAAUAGACUCCU